rnacentral:rRNA from 1 species
CCUACGGGAGGCAGCAGUGGGGAAUUUUGGACAAUGGGCGAAAGCCUGAUCCAGCCAUGCCGCGUGCAGGAUGAAGGCCUUCGGGUUGUAAACUGCUUUUGUACGGAACGAAAAGGUCUUUUCUAAUAAAGAAGGCUCAUGACGGUACCGUAAGAAUAAGCACCGGCUAACUACGUGCCAGCAGCCGCGGUAAUACGUAGGGUGCGAGCGUUAAUCGGAAUUACUGGGCGUAAAGCGUGCGCAGGCGGUUAUAUAAGACAGUUGUGAAAUCCCCGGGCUCAACCUGGGAACUGCAUCUGUGACUGUAUAGCUAGAGUACGGUAGAGGGGGAUGGAAUUCCGCGUGUAGCAGUGAAAUGCGUAGAUAUGCGGAGGAACACCGAUGGCGAAGGCAAUCCCCUGGACCUGUACUGACGCUCAUGCACGAAAGCGUGGGGAGCAAACAGGAUUAGAUACCCUGGUAGUCCACGCCCUAAACGAUGUCAACUGGUUGUUGGGUCUUCACUGACUCAGUAACGAAGCUAACGCGUGAAGUUGACCGGCCGUCGGGAGGUACGGCCGGCGACGGUUAGGUAACGUACGAAAGGAAGUAGACGGCGUGAGACGUGCCGACGGACGACGACGAGGGAGGAGG